AUUGACGUGUAGAUAGUGCUCUUUUCUUGAAGCAACAAAAAAACUAAACCGUCAUCAGUAAUUUACCUUUAAUUUUUAACCAUUGGCUUUUCCAGCAAAAAUAGUUGUAAAAUUAAGAGCAACAACCAUAAAAAAAAAAUUAAGAAAAUAAGUAACCAUAUGAGACUAAUGGUUAGAAUAUAGCAAAAAACUAAACUGUCAUCAGUGAUUUACCUUUAACUUUUAACCAUUGGCUUUCCCAGCAAAAAUAGUUAGAAAAUUAGGAGCAACAACCAUAAAAAAAAUAAGAAAGUAAGUAACCAUACGAGACUAAUGGUUAGACUAUAGCACAUAUAACAUGUAUUAAUUUUAUUAAUGCCCCUAAAAAUUCACACACACAUAUUUCUAUUUUUUUUUGGAAGAAUUUCUAAAACGACGAAUCGAAAGAGACAAAAAAAUAAUGAAAAUGCAAGAAUAUUUUGUUUUUUUGGUAAAAAAGAAUAUUUUGUUUCAUACUACAUAUCUAAUAAAUAUAGUAUAAUAUAAUUAAUAUAUGUAUUUGUCACACGUUCACAUGCUGAAAAUGAGAAAAUGGUUCAUAUUUGUGUUAAAAUGUCACAUCGAAAAUUCUACUUUAUUACAUGGUUAUUCACUUAAUAUUUUUCUCAAUGUGGACAUUUCUACCAAUUAACCCAAGAUAGUUCUAACUUUACGGAUAUAUAAUUCUUUGUCAAGAUAAAGUGUUUUAAUAAUUUCUGGAGUUGUCCAAACAGAAAAAAAAAAUUAAAGUUUUCUUGGUCAUAUCUAUGCUCGUUUUAAGGGUUAUCAGUAUUGUAAUGGGUUUGUUCGUAAUCAAAUUAAUGGCUUGCCAUUUGCAAUAUGUAUAUCUUUUAUUUUGAAUAUCUCGUUCAUGCUAAGCGUUUAUCUUUGAAUAUUUGAAAAAACUUGAAAGGUUUUUUAUUUUGCCAAAAAAAAACUUGAAAGGUUGCUGUAUUUUAUCACCCUUAAUAUUCAUUCAGUUUAUAUGUUUUUUCUUAAAACAAAUUGACAUCUAUCUUUUCAUGAGAAAUUCUCAUUUUUAUAAUCCGACUGUUCAUGUGGCAAAGAAUUAUAUAUCCGUAAAGUUAGAACUAUAAUCUAACUUGUGUUAGGGUUUAAAAACCCAUGUUUUAUCAUUUUAUGCUAACACUAAUUCACCUUAGCCAACUUCCAGAAUAUUCACAAAUUUAUAUGUAUAUGGAUAUAUUAUAUUAUAUUAAUUUAUUUAUAAUACGACUGGAAAGAUACUCAUAAAGGCCAACACUCUUAAUGAAUAAAUUUGUAUAAAUAUUUGUAACAAGCAAAGUUAUCAAAUGGCCCGUACAGCUCAGUGGUAGAGCGUCAGUCUUGUAAACUGAAGGUCCGUAGUUAGAUCCUUCGUGUGGACACUUUUUAAAAAGCGUUAUUACUAUUUUACGACUCUUGUUUGUCACAAAAACAGAGUACUGAACGCAUAAGGAUCCAGAAGCUUGAGCCAUAUUGUUCAAGAAUAACUCGUUAAUUUUGGGUAGAGCGCCAGUCUUGUAAACGUGUAUGAUGUAUGAUGUAAUAUGUAUCAUUUGCAUACUCGAAAAAGCUAGAGACGUUGGGGUUGUUAACAUUGACGUGUAUAUAAUGCUCUUUUCUUGAAGCAACAAAAAACUAAACCGUCAUCGGUGAUUUACCUUAACUUUUAACCUUUGGCUUUCCCAACAAAGAUUGACAACCUGAUCCAAUCACUGACGGCAUCGAAUACAUUGAGCCCAGAUGAAAAUAACAAAUAUUGUUGGAAUGUCCAUAAGAUUUCUCUUCUCAAUUGACAAAAUGACGAGUACAUCUAACUAACCAGCCAUCACUCUCCACAAGUACUACACAACAAGUCAUUUCAGUGUAUAUCUUUUGGAGCAUUUAUUUAUAUCUAAUACUCACGAUUCUUUAGAUCUACAUACAUGGAGUACAUAACAAUGCAAGUUUUAUUCUUUUCAAUAACAUGCAUUAACACAAACCACAUGUCUUCUUCUCUUGAAACAUAUUUCAAAGUUGAUUUGAGUAAAGAUGCUUAUGAUUUAUAUUAGUAAUUUUAUCUUCACGUGUUUUUCUUCUUUUCAAAACGGGCUUCUUUGACAUAGAUUUGUUAUUGUUUGCAUGACAUCCCGUUAUAUGUAUCUCUCUCUAGGACUUGAUAGAACGUCGGACACGUUACGCGUUGUAAUCAUCGAGGCAGCCUUCACAGGCCAGACUAUAUUCUGGUGGGACCAACCUAUUCUUUGGACAAUAAUACUCUGAAAGGGAAGAACGGGCGGUGAGGAAUCAGUUGUUUUUCAAUGUGGACGUAAAACAUGUGGACAUGGAUGAAAAAUAUGCGAAAGAAAAAGACAUGGACAUGUUCUUGUGACUAUGUGGAUGGAUGGUUGUGGACGGUUAUUUGUGAACGAGUAGGCAUAGACAUAGAUGAUAGUGUGAACGCAUAAGAUGUAAACAUGGAUGAAAAAUGUUAGAAAGAAAAAUACAUAAACUUGUUCAUGUGGCUAUGUGGGUGGAUGUUUGCAGACGGCUAAUGAAAAUAAUCAAUAAAAAA